AGGACGAACGCUGGCGGCGUGCUUAACACAUGCAAGUCGAGCGGAAAGGCCCUUCGGGGUACUCGAGCGGCGAACGGGUGAGUAACACGUGAGCAACCUGCCCUUGGCUCUGGGAUAGCCUCCGGAAACGGGGAUUAAUACCGGAUAUUCACUUUUUCCUGCAUGGGGGAGGGUGGAAAGUUUUUCGGCCAGGGAGGGGCUCGCGGCCUAUCAGCUUGUUGGCGGGGUAAUGGCCCACCAAGGCGACGACGGGUAGCCGGCCUGAGAGGGCGAUCGGCCACACUGGGACUGAGACACGGCCCAGACUCCUACGGGAGGCAGCAGUGGGGAAUAUUGCACAAUGGGCGGAAGCCUGAUGCAGCGACGCCGCGUGGGGGAUGAAGGCCUUCGGGUUGUAAACCCCGUUUCACCAGGAGCGAAUCAAGACGGUACCUGGGGAAGAAGCGCCGGCUAACUACGUGCCAGCAGCCGC
rnacentral:rRNA from 1 species